rnacentral:rRNA from 1 species
UACGUAGGUGGCGAGCGUUGUCCGGAUUUACUGGGCGUAAAGGGAGCGUAGGCGGAUUUUUAAGUGAGAUGUGAAAUACUCGGGCUCAACUUGAGUGCUGCAUUUCAAACUGGAAGUCUAGAGUGCAGGAGAGGAGAAUGGAAUUCCUAGUGUAGCGGUGAAAUGCGUAGAGAUUAGGAAGAACACCAGUGGCGAAGGCGAUUCUCUGGAUUGUAACUGACGCUGAGGCUCGAAAGCGUGGGGAGCAAACAGG